rnacentral:rRNA from 1 species
UACGUAGGUGGCAAGCGUUGUUCGGAAUUAUUGGGCGUAAAGGGCGCGUAGGCGGCAUGUUAAGUCGGCUGUGAAAGCCCGGGGCUCAACCCCGGAGGGUCGGCCGAUACUGGCAAGCUAGAGUACAGAAGAGGUAGCUGGAAUUCCUGGUGUAGCGGUGAAAUGCGCAGAUAUCAGGAGGAACACCGGUGGCGAAGGCGGGUCUCUGGGCCGAUACUGACGCUGAGGAGCGAAAGCGUGGGGAGCGAACAGG